GAUCCUGACCUUCAACAAGAAUGGAUGAUGGUUAAGAAGGUUAACAAAAUGAGGCUCGCUGAGUA